CUUUGAUCUUCGACGGCCAUUCCAAGGGAAUGUGGAGUUAGUCAAGCAAAGUUUGGAGUAUUGCUGYUGUUGUAUUGAUCAUGGAUCCAAUGCUGUUUAUUUUGCACAAGACCUGGUAUCAAACUCUUUCUGAUGAACAUUUCAGCAAGAACGCUUGASAAGAAAAUUGAUGUCRGUGYAAAGG